GCCAGGUGGUUCGGAAAUUAUUGGGCGUAAGCGCACGUAGGUGGCCGUGCAAGUUGGAUGUGAAAGCCCACGUAAACAAAAAAGGAAGUGCAUCCAAAACUGCUCGGCUUGAGUUCCGGAAGGGCCCAGAGAAUUCCCGGUGUAGAGGUGAAAUUCGUAGAUAUCGGGAGGAACAUCAGUGGCGAUUUUUCGCUUUCUGGCCCAAUACUGACACUCAUGUGCGAAAGCGUGGGGAGCAAACAGGAUUAGAUACCCUGGUAGUCCACGCCGUAAACGAUGAGAACUAGAUGUCGGGGGGGAUUAACCCUUCGGUGUCUCAGCUAACGCAUUAAGUUUUCUGCCUGGGGAGUACGGUCGAAAUGUUG
rnacentral:rRNA from 1 species